UUUGGUUAAGUUAGAAAGGGCGCACGGUGGAUGCCUUGACACUAGGAGUCGAUGAAGGACGGGACUAACGCCGAUAUGCUUCGGGGAGCUGUAAGUAAGCUUUGAUCCGAAGAUUUCCGAAUGGGGAAACCCACCAUACGUAAUUGUAUGGUAUCCUUAUCUGAAUACAUAGGGUAAGGAAGACAGACCCAGGGAACUGAAACAUCUAAGUACCUGGAGGAAGAGAAAGCAAAUGCGAUUUCCUGAGUAGCGGCGAGCGAAACGGAACAUAGCCCAAACCAAGAGGCUUGCCUCUUGGGGUUGUAGGACAUUCUAUACGGAGUUACAAAGGAACGAGGUAGACGAAGCGACCUGGAAAGGUCCGUCGUAGAGGGUAACAACCCCGUAGUCGAAACUUCGUUCUCUCUUGAAUGUAUCCUGAGUACGGCGGAACACGUGAAAUUCCGUCGGAAUCUGGGAGGACCAUCUCCCAAGGCUAAAUACUCCCUAGUGAUCGAUAGUGAACCAGUACCGUGAGGGAAAGGUGAAAAGCACCCCGGAAGGGGAGUGAAAGAGAUCCUGAAACCGUGUGCCUACAAAUAGUCAGAGCCCGUUAACGGGUGAUGGCGUGCCUUUUGUAGAAUGAACCGGCGAGUUACGAUCCCGUGCGAGGUUAAGCUGAAGAGGCGGAGCCGCAGCGAAAGCGAGUCUGAAUAGGGCGUUUAGUACGUGGUCGUAGACCCGAAACCAGGUGAUCUACCCAUGUCCAGGGUGAAGUUCAGGUAACACUGAAUGGAGGCCCGAACCCACGCACGUUGAAAAGUGCGGGGAUGAGGUGUGGGUAGCGGAGAAAUUCCAAUCGAACCUGGAGAUAGCUGGUUCUCCCCGAAAUAGCUUUAGGGCUAGCCUUAAGUGUAAGAGUCUUGGAGGUAGAGCACUGAUUGGACUAGGGGUCCUCAUCGGAUUACCGAAUUCAGUCAAACUCCGAAUGCCAAUGACUUAUCCUUAGGAGUCAGACUGCGAGUGAUAAGAUCCGUAGUCAAAAGGGAAACAGCCCAGACCGCCAGCUAAGGUCCCAAAGUGUGUAUUAAGUGGAAAAGGAUGUGGAGUUGCUUAGACAACUAGGAUGUUGGCUUAGAAGCAGCCACCAUUUAAAGAGUGCGUAAUAGCUCACUAGUCGAGUGACUCUGCGCCGAAAAUGUACCGGGGCUAAAUACACCACCGAAGCUGCGGAUUGAUACCGAAUGGUAUCAGUGGUAGGGGAGCGUUCUAAGGACAGUGAAGUCAGACCGGAAGGACUGGUGGAGUGCUUAGAAGUGAGAAUGCCGGUAUGAGUAGCGAAAGACGGGUGAGAAUCCCGUCCACCGAAUGCCUAAGGUUUCCUGAGGAAGGCUCGUCCGCUCAGGGUUAGUCAGGACCUAAGCCGAGGCCGACAGGCGUAGGCGAUGGACAACAGGUUGAUAUUCCUGUACCACCUCUUUAUCGUUUGAGCAAUGGAGGGACGCAGAAGGAUAGAAGAAGCGUGCGAUUGGUUGUGCACGUCCAAGCAGUUAGGCUGAUAAGUAGGCAAAUCCGCUUAUCGUGAAGGCUGAGCUGUGAUGGGGAAGCUCCUUAUGGAGCGAAGUCUUUGAUUCCCCGCUGCCAAGAAAAGCUUCUAGCGAGAUAAAAGGUGCCUGUACCGCAAACCGACACAGGUAGGCGAGGAGAGAAUCCUAAGGUGUGCGAGAGAACUCUGGUUAAGGAACUCGGCAAAAUGACCCCGUAACUUCGGGAGAAGGGGUGCUUUCUUAACGGAAAGCCGCAGUGAAUAGGCCCAAGCGACUGUUUAGCAAAAACACAGCUCUCUGCGAAGCCGUAAGGCGAAGUAUAGGGGGUGACACCUGCCCGGUGCUGGAAGGUUAAGGAGAGGGGUUAGCGUAAGCGAAGCUCUGAACUGAAGCCCCAGUAAACGGCGGCCGUAACUAUAACGGUCCUAAGGUAGCGAAAUUCCUUGUCGGGUAAGUUCCGACCCGCACGAAAGGUGUAACGAUUUGGGCACUGUCUCAACCAGAGACUCGGUGAAAUUAUAGUACCUGUGAAGAUGCAGGUUACCCGCGACAGGACGGAAAGACCCCGUGGAGCUUUACUGUAGCCUGAUAUUGAAUUUUGGUACAGUUUGUACAGGAUAGGCGGGAGCCAUUGAAACCGGAGCGCUAGCUUCGGUGGAGGCGCUGGUGGGAUACCGCCCUGACUGUAUUGAAAUUCUAACCUACGGGUCUUAUCGACCCGGGAGACAGUGUCAGGUGGGCAGUUUGACUGGGGCGGUCGCCUCCUAAAGUGUAACGGAGGCGCCCAAAGGUUCCCUCAGAAUGGUUGGAAAUCAUUCGUAGAGUGCAAAGGCAUAAGGGAGCUUGACUGCGAGACCUACAAGUCGAGCAGGGACGAAAGUCGGGCUUAGUGAUCCGGUGGUUCCGCAUGGAAGGGCCAUCGCUCAACGGAUAAAAGCUACCCCGGGGAUAACAGGCUUAUCUCCCCCAAGAGUCCACAUCGACGGGGAGGUUUGGCACCUCGAUGUCGGCUCAUCGCAUCCUGGGGCUGUAGUCGGUCCCAAGGGUUGGGCUGUUCGCCCAUUAAAGCGGUACGCGAGCUGGGUUCAGAACGUCGUGAGACAGUUCGGUCCCUAUCCGUCGUGGGCGUAGGAAAUUUGAGAGGAGCUGUCCUUAGUACGAGAGGACCGGGAUGGACGCACCGCUGGUGUACCAGUUGUUCUGCCAAGGGCAUAGCUGGGUAGCUAUGUGCGGAAGGGAUAAGUGCUGAAAGCAUCUAAGCAUGAAGCCCCCCUCAAGAUGAGAUUUCCCAUAGCGUAAGCUAGUAAGAUCCCUGAAAGAUGAUCAGGUUGAUAGGUUCGAGGUGGAAGCAUGGUGACAUGUGGAGCUGACGAAUACUAAUAGAUCGAGGACUUAACCAUAUAA
rnacentral:rRNA from 1 species